rnacentral:tRNA from 1 species
UCCCUGCUGGUCCAGUAGUUAAGACUGUGCACUUCCACUGCAGAGGCUUGGGUUCAAUCCCUGGUUGGGGA